rnacentral:rRNA from 1 species
GACGUACCGUGCAAACGUUGUUCGGAAUCACUGGGCUUAAAGGGCGCGUAGGCGGGCCAGCUAGUCUGUGGUGAAAGCCUCCAGCUUAACUGGAGAAGUGCCGUGGAUACUGCUGGCCUCGAGGAGGAUAGGGGCAUCUGGAACGGUCGGUGGAGCGGUGAAAUGCGUUGAUAUCGACCGGAACUCCGGUGGCGAAGGCGAGGUGCUGGGUCCUAUCUGACGCUGAUGCGCGAAAGCCAGGGGAGCAAACAGG